ensembl:lncRNA
GAGGCUUGGGGAGGUGGAGGGCCCUUUGCCUGCUGGUUCCCAGAAACGCUGUGCUGCUGACCCAGGGUGGAAGGUUCGAGAAGGUGUCCUGGGCAGGAGGUGCUGAGGGUACUGAUGUGGUGACAAGAUAUAGGGUCUGAUCCAGCAAUGUCUGGCUUUGAUCCAGCCCAGGACUCCAUGGUCAAGGUCUGAGAAGGGAAGAAGGACAGCUGGGAUGUGAGUUUGGGAAGAUGGGCUAUGCUGAGGAGGAGACAUGUGACUGUGGUGGAUAGAAAAGUGGUCCCCAAAAGAUAUGUCCAAGUCCUAACCUACAGAACCUGCAGAUGUGACCUUGUUUGAAAACUAGUCUUCGCAGGUAUAAUUAUGUUAAAGAUAUUAAGAUGAGAUCAUCCUGGAUAUGGGGGGAGGGAAGAAUCCCAUGACUGAUAACUACCCUUGUAAGAGAAAGGAGAGGGGGAUUUCAGACAAAGGGAAUAAAGUCGUAGGUCGGGUGAAGAUGGAGGCAGAGACAGGAGUGAUGCUGCCAUAGCUAAGGGGCUACCAGAAACUGGAAGGGGCAGGAGGGAUGCUUUUCUAGAACCUUUGGGGAGAAUGUGGUCCUGCUCUCACUUCGAUUUCAGACUUCUGGCCCCUGGAACCAUGAGAAUCAAUUUCUGUUGUUUUAUGUUUUUUUUAUGACCAGGUUUGUUGUCAUUCGUUACAGCAGCCCUAAAAAACAAAUUCAGUGAGGGAGAUCUGGAGAGGAAGAGCUGGAAGAUAGAAAUAUGCAGAAGUCAAGUCAAGAACAGCCACAGGGGCUGAGGCAGGGAGAGGCAGAGGCUGGUGUAACGGCUUCUCCCUCCCGUCUUAGUCCCUGGUCGUCACAACAGAAUGCCAUACACUGGAUAUCUUAAAUGACAAAAAUUAAGUUUCUCACAGUUCUGGAUGGCAUUUGAGGGACUAAUUAAAAGACAGUAAACUAUAGCUGAGGAAGGAGAAAAUGAUGGGUGGAGAAAGGCAAGAUGGUGCUAUCAAGGUGGAAGCCGGAUGUGAAGACUCUCUUCCUUCCACUCGUGCUCAAAAGGUAGCAAGGAUCAUACAUAGACAACACACGCCCAAAUAUACAUGGACAUGAAUGCAUGCACGCACACACACAUAGAGUCCAACUUAUCAGUGCUCUUAAUUCCUAGAGCAAUCAUUUCAUUACUGGGUUGCUUUGUUCUUUGGACUUCAGUGUUCUUUGUUUAGAUAUGGCCCAUUCCCCUAUGACAUGUGGCAGACAAAGGGUGAAGUAUUAAUAGUCCUCUCAGUGGUCACUCUUUGGGACAUCCUCCUCUCUUUCUUUCUUUUUUACUUUCUUUCUUUCUUUUUCUUCCUCCCUUCCUUCCUUCCUUCCUUUUUUCUUUCUUUCUUUUCUGGCUAUACUCAUGGCAUAUGGAAGUUCCCAGGCUAGGGGUCACAUCAGAGUUGCAGCUGCCAGCCUAUACCACAGCCACAGCAAUGCCAGAUCCCAACCGUGUCUGUGACCUACACCACAGCUCAUGGCAACGCCAGAUCCUUAGCCUACUUAGCGAGGCUGGGGAUUGAACUCACUUCCUCAUGGAUAUUAGUUGGGUUUGUUACCGCUAUGCCACAAUGGGAACUCCCUCCCUUUUUUCUUAUAUAUAUGUAUUUACAAUCCGACAUUCUUGGCAGUGUGAGAUGAUCCAAGGUUCUCAAAACCUUUGAGUGUACAACAGUAUCAAUAGUGAUGACUUUCAAGUAUGAUCCAGUGGUAUCCUUGUCCAGAGAUGGAAAAGUCAUUUAAGAUACUCCAUGACUUCCUUUCAGUGUUGUGUGCGUUGAUGUGGGCCCCCUUAAAUGUCACUGUGUUUUGGGUUGAACCACAUUGGAGAGAAGCAUAAAGAUGGAAGGAGUAAAUUGAAAAAGGGUCUGUAGAAACAGAUUUUAUACCAAAAAAUAAUCAAUUGUUAGGUGUUGGAAAAAUAUAAAUGUUGUGAACAGUGUGUUUUAUAUGCUGCUUCCAAGAAUGAAAAUAUGCCAAGUCUGGGGGAAAAGGGUUGGUCGGUCAGAUUUCUGGAUGGCCCCUUCCUUUAGCUCUUACUACUGUUGUGCUGCUUUACAAGCAAUAACCCAGUCACCAAAGGGGAAACUCUGAACAGAGACCUGGAAGGAUAAGCCAACUUGAGGACUAAUAAUUGCCUUGUUAAAAAGUGAAAUGGAGUUACUGUGGAUUUUUAGGGUAAGUAGUUAAAAUGUACUUUUUAAAAACAAGUUUCUAGAAACCAAGAAUUUCCCCAAAUUAAGAAGUAACUGAAUGAGUAGUUUUCAGAAAUGCAGUCUCCCUUCGUAGCCAAAUUAUGAAAUGAGAGGAAAAGGCAUGAUGUUAGAUGGGAUAUGAAAUAGAGGUGAUGCUUCCAGAUGUUUUAUUUUGUUUUGUUUUGUUUUGAAACUCCUGUCAAGGCAGCUAUCCUCUAGACAAUGUUACCAAUGGCCUGUGUGCCUAUUGUUUCACAGUUCUAGGGGAUAGAAGUCCAAAAUCAAGAUGAUGGCAGGGCCAUGUUCUCUCUGAAGGCCCUAAGGGAGGCUCCUCAGGUUGCCCGCAAUCUUUGGUGUUUUGGUUUGUAGUCUCAUAUGAUCACAUAGCAUUCUUACCAUGUGUCUGUAUCCACACUUCCUUCUUGUUAUAAGGAUGUUAGUCAUUGGAUUAGGCCUACCCUAAUCCAGUAUACUCUCAUCUUCACUUGGUUGUAUCUGCAAAGACCCUAUUUCCAAAUGAGGUCACAUGCACAGAUAUUGGAGGUUAGGACUUCCACACCUCAUAUCACCAUGAAGACAGAAUGCCAGAAAUUCUUUGUUAAUUAUACAAAAUGGUAUUAAGUAUGGUUACAUACUCAAAAUAAAACUACCCAGAAUAAGAUCAACUUCUGGUGUGACAGCACAGGGAGCUCUUGAAAAACUAUUAAAAAACCCCCAACAGUUUAAAGCUUCUGGAAGUGGUGCUAAUGGGGGGGAAAAACCAGCAAAGGAAGAAUCCUGUAUUCAAUAAAGUUUAUAUAAAAGUUUGGUAAGAAAGGUGAGAGCUUGUGGUAUUUGAACCAAAACCACUUCCUCCCCACUCCCAGUUAAGGAGGGUAGAGACUCGAUUCCAGAAUUCUGCAGUCAAUUACACAUGAUUCCUGACU